AUCAAAACUGUUAGAACAAAUUUGUAAGGUACCGACUGAUUAAAUGUCAGUGUAAAACUGUAGGAUAGAAUUUAAGGUGCUCCUCAGUGCAGAAGUUAGCUGAAGAACAGAACAUGUGAAGAACUGCACAGGUGAGCAGCUGAAGAGUCUGAAAUUACCUUUUCUGCAGUAGCAAAUAUGAUUAGGGCUUUUGAAUGUAUCUGACUCUCUGGGAGCACUUUUCUGAAGAUGGCAUGGUAUAUAAAAUAUUUUCUUUGUAUGUAUGCCCAUUGUUAUAGUUAAUGAGAUUUAAUAUAUGCAUACCAAGUGAGCAUUAUGUGUGUAGGUACAGUAAGAAUCCCAAAACUUUGCAAACUGUUCCCAAGUGUUACCCAUCUUUGUUUGGAAUCUGCAAGGUCAAACUAUGCAGCACUGACUGCAGGUGAAAGAACAGAAACGUGCCUUUGUUCUUCCUUUCAGUUUGUAUAUACAUUUUAACCUAUCACCCGAAUGCUUGUAAAGCAAAAAUGAGAUAUAGUUUGCAUUUUUAAAAAGUUUUCUUUAUGAACAGAGCUGUUUUGAGUCAUGCUAUAUGGCAUAGUGUGAAUUCUACCCACAAUGCCAAGACUUCAACCAAAACUGCAGGUAUCAGCGCCAUUAUUCAGCUCAGUUCUUCCUUGUGAGAAAUCGAUGUUAGACAUCCCAUUGCCGCAAAUGAGCCACCAAUGGGAUGGAAUCAGCUACUUUUCAAAGGUAGGAGACUUUUUAACACUUCCCAAAUACAUAGUUAUGGGGAGGUAGCUACCCUGCUAUUUCAUACAAAUGGGCUUUUUACAGCUAGCCAGGAAGAGCUGUUGAAUUCUUGCCACACCCAGAAUACAGAGAUCUGAACUGAACAGCAACUGAGUCUAAAGGAGACUAAACACCAGAGGGUAUGGUAAAAACAGACAUCUAUAGCUGUUCUUUAGAAGAAGUCUUAGAAGUGUCACCGUCACAGAAAAUUCUGCUGCUGCUUCCACGUUUUAUGUAAAUUUCUACUGGUUACAUUCUUAAUUCUGGGGAAUAGGAUAUUUGCAUUGAAUUCUCUUUCCUAUGGCAGCAGUGAAGAGUGUCUCCAUGUGAGGAACUCUUGGAGCUUUGUUACUGGGCAGAAAUGAAUGCAAAGUGCAGGUGUGAGGAGGAGGAUAAUGCUGAGCACAGCUGAGGGGUGUCUUGCUGGGAGAAGGGGCUUUGCAAGGUUCUGCUCUACCUUAGUCCUGUGAAGCCCUAGAUGUAUUUUGUGAUAGAUGUCACUGGGUACAAAUAGGUAUGGGCGGAAACAGUAGACUCGUGCUUACCACAUGGCUACUGAGCCAUACUGCUUUUAGUCUGUCUCUCUUUUUUAAUUCUUUUUAUUUUCCAUCUUUCCUGAAACGAGGAUUAGUUUUGAUAGGUGGGGGAAUAGCAGCCCCCUUCUCCAGCAAGCUCAUUGGUUGUAAUGAGCUAAGUUUCCAUGUAGAGAAAGCAUCUGUGGUGCUGCUGUGUGCAGUCUCUUAAAUCUUACAUGAGCUACAAAAUUACUUGCACAGUCUGGGCUCCUAACAGCCUUAGAGCAAAUUUUCAGAGUGAAUUUUGAAAGGCUGCUGAUUAGGAAUGUUUUGGUGUGAUAUUUUGAACUUAGAGUUUUGAGUUUAGUUGUGUUGAAGUCAGCAAGGAUUGGUAUCUGUCCUCUCUUCCCCACCCCCUUACAAGUGGGGGGAGGGUGAGAGCAGCUGCUGCUUGAUUAGUUUCACCUGUGUGGGGAGAGGGAGUGGCAUUUAGGUAUAUUUAAGUAGAUGAGGGAGCAAACAGCACCUGAUCUUGUGGAGGUUUGCUCGUGAGCAGAGGUCGUGCCAGCAGCUCCUCUAGGAACUGUGGGUGUGCUUUUCAUGGGCCACGAGAGGAGGUGAAGCAACCUGCUUUGAAGAGUGGAAAGGAGCGCUUUGCCUAGUUUGGAAGACUGGUGACAUGAAAGGUAGAUACUUCUGGGCUGUCAGAGGAAGGAAGCUCAGUUAUUUCAGAGCGUGCGCCCUCAGUGAACUCAUCUGGCAGAAGCAGAAAGGAUGUGUAUCCUUCAAGAAAGAGUCUCACAUAAUUCUUUGUAAUCUGUGGGAAUGCAGCAUUGCCCAUGCAAUCAGUGUGGAUAUCUGAAAGCCAAGAAAGGAGCACAGUCUGAUCUAAAGAUGUGUCGUAGAAUGGAUCCUACAAAGGUCAGGAAGUUUUGUAUUGAUAUAAUAUGUUCUGUUUAUAAUUUUACCAAUUUUUAAUGUUAGAAAAGUUAAGAAUAAAGAAUAUGCCCAUGUUUUAUUCUAACUGCUUCACCUUAAAACUGAAUCUGUAUGAAAAGCCCAUCUUCUUACAAAAUGUGUAACUAAAAAUUAGCAAUCCAGAACAUAUAGAUGUCUGUAUACAUCUUUCAUUAUUUCAUCAUUAAGAAGCCAUCUAAAACUAAUAAAGACAUAUAAUAUAUCACUGUUAGUUUCUAAAUCAGAAACAAAGGCCUCAUGCUUCUUGCAGUAUGUAAAGCUGAAAAGUAUAUACUGCUCCAGUGAGUCAUGUGGCUUCAGGUGGCAUUGUGACGCCUGGGGCACUGCAGCCUGGUGCCAGGGAUGGCAGGUCCUUCUCCCCAGCAGGCAGUUGCCUGCCAUUUUCUGAUAGCAAAUAUUCAUUAAGUCACCAUCUGUACUUCUUUGAAAGUCAUAGAUUGCUAAUCUUACAUAGUUAGGGCAGUUUAAAGUAAUGGGGAUCUAACUUGUUUAUUCUUUUAUUCUACUUUUUUUUUUUUAUGUUGGAGACAGAGGGAAAGCAUAUUUUUACUUUACCUAUUUUAGAGAAAUAAACCUUCCUUUGCUUGUGGAGCUGGGCUGUAAGAAAAACAUGCAGUAUGUCAAAAUUGGCAGUAAAGUAAUGAGCUCUCAUUAACACUGCAGCACCCAAAAGUUUCUUACACUGUCUAAUAGCUUUUCAUACUAACACAGUUUUUCCCAGUACAAUUAGAGACUAUGUAUAGUACCUAACCUUACAAUGACAGGUACAUUCAAAGACACCGGGGCUUUUAGUAAUUGAUUACUUAAAAUAAAUACACAUUUCCAUCUUAUUUUGGUGACUGGCAAAAUCAAGGCACACAUCUGCAUCUUGCUAAAACGUUUUUUUAGCUUUUCUGGAACUCUUUCUUCCAUGCAGAUUCCUCAAAAAGUAUAUUGUAUAGAAGAUAUAAUGUUAAUUGAAUUCUUUCAAUAGCUUUUAGCAGCAUUUGUUUGGAAAAAAAAAAAAUUGAGAAGGCAUUUUGGUAGGGAUGGGAGUUUUAUUUAUUUUAUUUUAUUUUAUUCUUUUUUUAAGUUAUGUCAUUUUAUUUUAACUCAGUCUAUCACCAAUAAAAACACACAAGUAGAAUGUUUUAAAUGAUACUAAUAUACAAGAUAUAAGAACUAGAUGCAAGCGUAUACAACUGUGGUCUGUUUAUUCAGGUCUUAGGAACUAAACAAAAUUGAGCUUGUAAUGGGGUAGGCAGCAUGUGUGGGUGGAGGGUGGAUGUGGAGUGAAAGAGAAAGUGGGUGAUAGCUGUUGCAUUAUAAAUGUUUCAGCAGGAGGUACUUGGAAUGGCUCCCUCACUUGCAUGUUGUGAAAUCAUAAGGGAGUUAUGCUGCAUCCCAAAUGAGUGCUAAUGAAACCUUUAUACCGAGCACCAUCAUGUAUUCUGCAUAUGUUACAUAUGAUGUGGGAAAACUCAAAUUAAAAUUGAGAGAGAGAGAGAGAAUAUAUGAUGGAGUGGCAUAAAGGUUUUAUCAGCAUGAGACUGGGAGGGAGUGCCUUACAAAAGCAAAGCUGAAUUCAUUAAUUCUUAUUUUUCUCUCCCUCUGAGCCCUGAAUCUUGACACUCACCGUAGAACUUGGGUUUAUGGACAUUGGCUCCAGAAAUAAUACCAAUAAUCUGUUUUAGAACUCCUUUUAAUCUUUCAAUAAUAAAUACUUUUGUGAUAGAGCAUACAAGAUGACUGGGGGACUGAAGUCUUACCAACACUUGUUUGGAAUGUUCGGUAUUUCUCACUCCUCACUGGAAAUUUGUGUGUGUGUGCAUUUUAGGUGCUUUUAUACUCCCUUAUCUGAGCUUCAGCCAUUAAUUUAGCCAACAAAAACUUCCUGUUUGGAAGUGUGAGUGUGUUGUGCAGGCCCUGUCAAUGUGUUUAACAUGUAAUGCUCAUUUCAGCUCUUGGGGGUCAUCUUCUACAAGUAUUACACCUCCUGCCUUCCCACUCAGUUCAGCUGGGAGUCAUGGUGCCAUAACAAAUCAGUAAAUAUUUAAAUGUCUUGGAAAAAAAAAUGGCUGAAGUGAAGUUAUUUAGAAUUUGGCUUGUAAUAACGACAAGAAGUCAUAUGUGUAAAAUUAAGCUUUUCUAGGAAAAUAACCAUUAUGAAGUGCUUGUGCCAUUAAGAAAUAUCUUCCUCUCUUCACCUUUGGCUUCUGCCAUAUUAUUUCUGGUUUCUGUCUCUCUUUCCAUGCCAUUUUGUUUGACCUAUACACGAUUGUAGUUCUAGAUCAACCAGUAGCACUAGUAUUGUUUUAAUAUGUUGGCUGACUUCUGAUUUUCAAACUAGUAAUGGGCAGAAACAGUCUUUAAAAAAGCUGACCUUUAGUUACACUGCAAGAUAAGCAGUGGGAGAGGGAGUUAAAGGAUGCUAAAGCAGGAGGAGUUAGUGGUACUUAUUAGUGGCAGGAAGAAGCAGUGCAAGUCUUUUAUUACUCAUUAAGGUCAAUUGGUCAUUAUGUCUUUGCAUCUAUUGACUUUGAAUCAUGGAAGAAGAAAAUCUUUCAGACUUUAAAGGAGAUAAGGUAGCACAGAGGAGGAAUUUUCCUCCCUUGAUUUUUCUUCUUUCUGACCUAAUGCUUUCUCUCAGCAGCAGAAAUUCUUCACCACGCUUUCACCGGCUUGCCCAAAAUGAGUGCUCCAAUAACCAAACAAAUCAUGUACUAUGUACAAAAGAAAAACAACAAAAAACAGAAAGGUGGUCCAGAAGAUUUGUUCUUACAUCCCUUAAAAUUUCAACUUUUUUCCUGUGGAUACUCUACUUGAAUAUAUUUCUCUCUGAUAUGUGGAUAACAGGGAGAAAAAUCAAAUAAUGGAGAAAGAAAUGGAAACUAUUCCUUCCAUAAAUCUUCCCUUUUCCUUUAUUUACUGAAAUAGAAAAUUGGCUAGGAGUUGAAAUGCAGAGUGUGUAUAUGCAUGUGUGCAUGCUUCUGAGCCCUUCUUACCAAUGUAAGUGACAUUUUCCUAAUUUCAGUUUAUAUAAAGAAGGCUUUGCGUGACUUUGAUUUUAAUAACAUGAAGGUCAAACAAUUCAGAAUAGAAACAAUAAUAUUCUCCAGAAAUUGACCCAUGAAAAUAUAUUUGUUUCUGGAAACCUGCCCUUCAAAGCUCCCUCCCAAGUAGAUUUGCAGUGACGUUUCAAGAACAGAACAUGGAUGCCUGUAACUAGGGGGAAUUUUUGGAUUGUUUCUUCUCAUUUGCUAACCACACACAAAAUGCCUGUUACACAAAUCAAAGUCUGGUAAUUUACUAUCCAGGUGUCUGAUCUUCUAAUAGCCAACACGCUGAGAAAACAUUUGAGGGUAGUCAGCUCAGUUUAUAUAUGUCCCGUAUUGCUUUUUCUAUUACUUUGAUUGCAGAUCUAACUUCCUAAGGCCUUUAACAUUGGGAGAGAUAAAGCUGCUACCCCAUUAAGGCACAAGGAAUUGAAAUUCCAAGGUACUUUGAUGUCAAACAGAUCAUUCUGUUAAGAAUUAAGGUUUCAUUGUGGCUUUAUAUCAUUUUUUCUUCUUUUUCAUAAAGAAACAAUAUGUAGUGCUGCCUAGAUGGGCUCAAGUGUUUGCUUAAGAUAAAUGUACUGACUGUGUAGAUAUAACACCCCGUGCCUUUAGCAAUAACGUGGACAGGAAGGAUUGUAGGACUGGAAAACCGUGGGUCUGGACUGUCCAGGAAUCUGUGUUAUCUUCACAUCUCUGUCAGGCUUCAUAAAUGAAGCUUUCACUUUCUCUCUCUCUCUCUCUCUUUCUCUUUCUCUUUUUCUCUUUUCCUUUUCCUUUCUUUUUUUGUUUUUAACAGAAGGAAAAAGGGAAAGACAGAAACUCGGGAACUAAAAGGCAGUGUGUAGGUUUUACCUGAAGAUAUAGAAAAAACUUGGCAGAGUUGGAAAGCCCUCCUGAGGCCAGCAAGUUUAGCCUCAGUUUUCCUUGAAUUUGGAGUCCAGCUGGAGGUCUUUGCUCUUGUUAGAGAUGUUGCACGAGGGUGAAGAAGACGAAGGGGUUCUGAUGAAAAAUUUAUAAGGAUUAAAUCUUAAUUUAACCUUUCGUACAUAUUCUUUUACGUAUGCUUUGAGCACUCUCCUUUGUUGCAGAAUAUUAUCUGGUAUUACGAAGUAGGUAAAUUUAAAUAAUCCAUUACAAAUAUGUUAAAUAAUGUACUGAAAAAUAUGCAAGUCAAAACCACAGUCAUGAAGAUCUGGUGAAGAAUAAAAGUGCUCAUCUCAGAUGAAUGGGUUUUAGGAGCAGAGGUUUCCUAUGCUGAGGCAGCUCUGUUUGGUUCCACUACCUUGUGCUGGGAGCACAGUCAUUUAAAGUUGAAAGGCGUGAUUCCUAUGGGGAAUCUUGCUUAAUUUGGAGGGAAUUUGGCCUUCCUAGGUAUCACAGUGCUGGCCUAGUGUUUCUUUCUGUACAGUGCUUGAAUCCUAGACGUUGAUUAUUUAAAAGAAGCUCUCAUCAAUAUUAGUGAUGCUAACAUACUGUAGAUAUUUGGUGUGUGGCUAUUUAAAAUAUAUAUUUCCUCUUAGGGACUAAAUGUAGCUGUGGAUGAGUGUGUGUGGCUACAUUGACCCCACAGAGGCAUACCCAUGGGGAGAAAUGCUGAGUUACCUGUUUCAUUUUUAUCCUUUUGGGAGUGAUUAUACUGUGAAUUUCUACUGUUUCUUUCUGCUUUUAGUUCUUUACACUUAGGCCUGACCAAGUUUUCUUUUUCUCUGCAGUUUUAAAGGAAGAAAAAAUUAUUUUCAGACUGAAAACCCUGUGACAUGAUUUCUAAAGGAAAUACCAGCUAUUGAUCCAUAGCCAUGUGGUCUCUUGUGGUUGGCAUUGUUUUAUUGCCAAGGUUUAAUAGUUUUUAUUGGUUAAAGCUUUUAGUCUCAAGUCACAGCAGUUGCAAGGGAACAUUGUGAAUGUCUUGUGGAUGUAAGCAGGGUAUUAACCUGUCUUGUUUAACUGCUAGCUCAUUCCUCUAGAGGCAUCAUGUUUGUCAGAUCAUUUUUCAACUGUGCCACAUAGGCCUGUGUGCGAUAUUUAUUCUGCCUGUAACAAGUUCUUUAAUUAAUUUAUUGAUAGGGCACUUAGGAGCUCCAUGUUGUUAACUGCUAUUAUUAUCAUUACUUUUACAUAGGUUUUGGAUAAGUCUUCAUUUUGUCAGUUGUUUAUUAUUAUUAUCAUUAGGAAUGUAUUUACGCAGAGCAACCUUGCUACGGUCAUGAAUUUACUGAGAGUCAUACGGUUCUUUUCUGGUGUAAGGAUGAACGCAACAGGGCAGUACAAUCUCUCCUCUUACUGCUGAAUUUCUGCCUAGCUUCCUAUAGAUCUCCAUGUACUUUUCAAGACUUCUUGGGGAAGGAGUCAUGGGGGUAUCACAUUGCCAGUCUGAAUCUGGGCUGAGGGAAGACUGGGCUGAAGGUUUUCCCCAGGCCUUCCAUGUUGAGUUAAUUGUACAUCUACUUCUGAGCCAAAGUUCCCAUCACACAAAGCAAAUGAGGAAAAACAGCUGUAUUAGAAAAUCUGAUAAAAAGGUGAAUAGGCAUGGGCAGAGGCAAAGGGCAAUUUCAGUGUCUGAAAUGUGUCUUUUUGAGGUAAAGCCCAAAUAAGUAUUUCUUCAUCGUGAAACAGCUUGCUGCUUCCUUAUAGCUGCUGUCAGUCACCUUUAUCUAUCCCAGGUAUUUAUAAGGCACCUAUCACUUCAGGAUCUAAAUGGCAUUGGCCUCCCAUGGAAGGGAGCUGAGAUAAAAUAAGUACGUGGAAUAAACUGACAGACUGCAGCAUAUCUUCAGAUGUGAAUUUCCUUGUGAGAGUGAAUACAUCCCACAGUGUUGAACUACAAAUACAUAAACUCAUUUGUAAGUAUUUAUGCUUUACAUUAUAACACAGUUUUGGUACAUUGUCCAUAAAGUCCUCAGUCUUCUGAGACUAGUAGAAUUUAAUUUUCAUAUAUUUUAUGAAACUGUGUUUCUAAUCACUUUCAAACAGAAUUUUAUGCAGAACUGUAGCAGGAGUAAAGUAAAUAUUAAUGAAAGCAUAUUGGGAAUAAUUGUUUAGUAAAGAAGAAGUAGUGGGUAAUACCAGGAUAAUACAUGUUUUGUCUCUAUAAAAAAUAUGCUUGGAUAAAUUCUGAAGUAUUACUAUGAGAUGAGUUUCCAGAACUUCAAUUGGCAGUUAACAAGUGCAGGAAUGAUAGACUUGGGGCAGUAUAUGUUCCCUGUAGGCAUGAGGAUGAUGGGUAGAACUGUUUUCUGUUUUGUCUGGGUAUCACUGAAAUGCUACUUUCUGCAGCAAUAAAAUUCAGCAUCUGAAAUGUAUUGCUCUUUUAUACUUAGCUUGGAUUUACAGGGAGAAAUAGUUCAAUUGAUCUCUGAUCAAAUAUCCAGUCAUUUUAGUGGAAAGUAGAACUGCUCUGAAGAUAGAGGCUGCUUUAAGAGGACUAUUAUCUGGGCAGAGGGAAAUUAACUCUUAACACCUUUCUAGUGCAAAUGCUUAAAAAAAUGUAAGUGUGUGUAUAUUUGAGCUAGAGGUUUUGGCUUGCAGUCUUUAAUGAUGACCCUGGUAAUGCUGAAUUCUGGACUGAUGGAACUAUAGUGAAUAUACAAUGAGGAAAUAGAUGUAAAUUAUUUAAUAUCUAGAAAUUAAUUGUAGGCAAAAAAAAAAAAAAAAGAAAAAUAAUCUGCUGUUUUGCUGCUAUUAGAGAAAGUGUGGGACUUGGGGGAGUUUGUUGUUGUUAACAUUGAAUCUGUUCCUUUCAUUAAGGAGUUCUGUAGAUAAAAUUACUACCAUGAGCUGAGAGAGCAUCAAUUUAUCCCAUUCUUAUGAACUCUGAAUCUGAGAAUGUGACAAAAAAUGGUUGUUUUGGUGAGUUCUUUCACAACGUCAUACAAGACCUAAAAUCGAGAACAUCUAUAACACAUGUGCCAUUCUUUGAGAAAGCAGAAUGCAUUUUCUAUUCCUAAACAAAGUUUAAUGUUUUUCAUCUGGAGUUGGUUUUCUACUGUCAGCAAGAAAAAAAAAAAAAGAUCAUGGAUGCAGUUGUGUAUUUAUGGGCAAGUUUUAUCUCUAAACAGAUUUGUAACUAAAAACAGAAAUAUCUUUUUAUGGGAGACAGCUGGUUGGGAGAUUAAAGAAACACAGCAAGGGAGGGGAGUUCAAAUUAACAAACAUUCCUAGACAAGGAAUGCCUGUGAGCAUUAGCAAGCUUUUAGAUUGCGACCUAAAAACAUAUCUAAUCUCAUCGACGGGUCUGUACUGAUGGGUUUCACUUUGUUAUUUGAUGAUAAAGAAAUCUUUGAAAAGCCCAGUGUGGAGCCAUAGCUCUUCUACAUUUUGAAGCAUCAGACAGACCCUGCAAAUGUGCGUCAGUGUACAAAUUUCCAGUUCUGCCAUGAGUUUGGGCUCAAACAGUGUCAAGCAGUUAAAUCCAGCAGACUUUGUACUGGAAAACUAUUUGCUGGGACAAACUGCUCUGAGUCUUCAGAAGUUCCUGGGAAGUUUUAAGGUCCCUAAGCAGCAUUGCAGACUUCUGCAAGCUGACAUUUUGUCCUGGGGAAAGCAAAAUUUGCUCCUGGGGGAGCAUAACAUCUGAAUGGGCAGACAGGGAUCAGCUUGUCCACAACAACUCACAGUAGGACAUCGGUCAUUUUAAAGCCUUUAUCUCAAGAAACAGUGUAAGAGAAAGAGUAAUAUUCCUGCUGUAAACAAGAUGGCAGCCCUCACAGGGAAGGUUCUUUUUUUGAUAAUGAUACAGCAUGAACUCUUGAAAGAACAAACAGUUUUUAUGUGCAGUGAAUAUUUGAAUUGCAGGACCUCAAGUUAUUUGACAAAUCUAGUUGAGCUUUUCUCAUAAAGUAUACAGUAAUAUGUCAUUUAAAAAUAGUUGGAGUAUGUCUGUGCAUAUUGUAUUCUGUCUUUCCUUGUUUAAAUAUUAUUAUAGGGAAUGCUGCCAGUUUCUAACAGAGCUAUUGUUUGUUUUUAAAUCAGUAAAGUUACAUUUGGAAUUGUAUUCAUCCUCAUACUGUCUUCAUUUUUAUAUGAUUUUUGAAGCUUGUCUUAUAAGGGCACAUCUUCUGCAGGAAUAAGCUAGCUCAGAUUUGUAGACUUGCAAUUGCACCAUCACAAAAUCUUAUCCAUGUUCAGAAAAUUUCCAGAAAUAUUUGGACCAAAGAGAGAAACGGUGUAUCAUUAAUCUUAACAUCAGUUGCACUGAAUCCAGUCUUCUUAAGUUCUACGUGAUGUAUGAUUGUGGUUUUGUGCUCUUAUACAUAUCCCCUACAAAACUGAAGGGGUAAAAUUCUGUCCUCAGUGUAGUUUGGUGAAUGUAUCAAAUAUUCAUCACAUCUGAUUUAGUCAUUAAAACCCCCAUGUUUGCUCCGAAAGAAUGAAGAGAAGAAGGGAGACUACAAUUAAUAUUUCUGAUAGUCAUUAAAUGACGCCUGAAAUGAGGAGAAGGUUGGUCAGUAUUCAACUUUCUUUAGAUUAUUGAUAAAAACAUGAAGGAAAAUGUUGAGGAAUCGCUGUGCUGUAACGAGUGUACUUGUGCAGAUCUGUGUGCUCUGACACUCGCUCCUCAACAAGUUGAUAUUUGGCCAUAAAAAGUGGCCUUAUUUGGUAAAUGAAUAUGAAUGGCAACAAGAUGAGUCUUUUAGCUCCGUUCUGUUUGGAAACUUGCAGUAAAUCACACUUUCUCCAAAAAUAUCAGAUAUUUGGGUGUUGUACUCAGCAGAAAGAAUGAGUCUAUGCUCUGAAACAAUUCUCAUUAUUGUCUUUUGAAUGAAAAACUAUGCAAAUUACAUUUUAAAAUGGAAGCGUUAUAAGAUUCUUAAAUUAUGCUAUUGUCAAAUAAUAGAUUCAGUGCAUUUUUUCAUGUGUUUCUUUUUUAAGGCACAGAGAUUUAAAAAAAACAAAACAAAACAAAAAAAAAACGGUAGGUAUUCACAUAGGGGGAAGUUGGUUUUAUUCCUCUGUGGUAUUCUGGCAAAUAUUUUGGGGAGCUAACUAUGGAAUCUUAGAAUAGUUCUAUUAUAGUGAAGUUAAAGUGAAUUGAUCACAGGUGUUUUUGGCAAUUUAUGCUUUCUCCUUUGUAGUUACAAUUAUGUAUAUACUCCAUGAAAUCAGAAUUUUAUCUCUGAAAAUCUGUUUCUUUCAUUGCUUUGUGAGAGUAUCAUCAGUUUAGAUCUUUC
rnacentral:lncRNA from 1 species